GACGAACGCUGGCGGCGUGCCUAAUACAUGCAAGUAGAACGCACAGUUUAUACCGUAGCUUGCUACACCAUAAACUGUGAGUUGCGAACGUGUGAGUAACGCGUAGGUAACCUGCCUGGUAGCGGGGGAUAACUAUUGUAAACGAUAGCUAAUACCGCAUAAUAUUGAUUAUUGCAUGAUAAUUGAUUGAAAGAUGCUAUUGCAUCACUACCAGAUGGACCUGCGUUGUAUUAGCUAGUAGGUGAGGUAACGGCUCACCUAGGCGACGAUACAUAGCCGACCUGAGAGGGUGAUCGGCCACACUGGGACUGAGACACGGCCCAGACUCCUACGGGAGGCAGCAGUAGGGAAUCUUCGGCAAUGGAGGAAAGUCUGAACGAGCAACGCCGCGUGAGUGAAGAAGGGUUUCGGAUCGUAAAGCUCUGUUGUAAGAGAAGAACGGGUGUGAGAGUGGAAAGUUCACACUGUGACGGUAUCUUAACAGAAAGGGACGGCUAACUACGUG
rnacentral:rRNA from 1 species